GAUGUAAUUACUUUGUUCUUUGAUUAUUUCAACCUUACUGCGCUUAGUUUCAGUCUCAGGCUUCACUGGCGUGGAAACAGCUCGUAUAAGCGAAGGUCUGGAAGAAGAAACAGAAAACAAAUUCACAUUUCUCGUCAAAGCAAGUGAAGAAUUUGAAGAUCUCAAACCAUCAAAGCUCCGUAUCUGGAUCUUCGGGUCCUUCAACACCGCAGUGUUGGCCGCUCCAAAGGAGGUCGUCGUCGUCGUCAUGAACUCUGAAAUCAAGAACUAGACCCGACAGUAAACCCCAGGCAACGAGAGCUAGGACUCUUACAAGCCAAGCUCCAGUGAGAGAGAGAUACUUACGGGGAUUGGUUGAGUGGCGAUGACUGAGCUAAGAAAUGAAAACGAAAACAAAAAUU
rnacentral:misc_RNA from 1 species